rnacentral:rRNA from 1 species
CCUACGGGAGGCUGCAGUGAGGAAUAUUGGUCAAUGGGCUUAAGUCUGAACCAGCCAAGUCGCGUGCGGGAAGACUGCCCUAUGGGUUGUAAACUUCUUUUGUCAGGGAGUAACGCUGACUACGUGUAGCCGGCUUGAGAGUCUCUGAAGAUAAAGCACCGGCAACUUCCGUGCCAGAACCCGCGGAAUUACGGAGGAUUCGAGCGUUAUCCGGAUUUAUUGGGUUUAAAGGGUGCGUAGGCGGAAUGCAAAGUCAGCGGUAAAAUCGCGGGGCUCAACCGCGCUCCGCCGGUGAUACUGGCGUUCUUGAGUGGGCGUGAAGUAGGCGGAAUGCGUGGUGUAGCGGUGAAAUGCAUAGAUAUCACGCAGAACACCGAUUGCGAAGGCAGCAUACCGGCGCCCAACUGACGCUGAGGCACGAAAGCGUGGGGAGCGAACAGGAUUAGAUACCCCAGUAGUC